rnacentral:piRNA from 1 species
UGAAGGACAGGCAGGCUGGCAGAUGA